rnacentral:rRNA from 1 species
UACGAGUGCCCCGAGCGUUAUCCGGAAUCAUUGGGCGUAAAGGGUGUGUAGGUGGUUGUGUUAGUCGUCUGUUAAAACCUGGGGCUUAACCCCAGGCAUGCGGACGAAACGGCACGACUAGAGGAUGGCAGGGAUGUAUGGAACUCAUGGAGUAGGGGUGAAAUCCGUUGAUAUCAUGGGGAACACCAAAAGCGAAGGCAGUACAUUGGGCCACUCCUGACACUGAAACACGAAAGCGUGGGUAGCGAAUGGG